rnacentral:rRNA from 1 species
ACUGAGUGGCGGACGGGUGAGUAACGCGUGGGUAACCUGCCUUGUACAGGGGGAUAACAGUUGGAAACGACUGCUAAUACCGCAUAAGCGCACAGGGUCGCAUGACCUGGUGUGAAAAACUCCGGUGGUAUGAGAUGGACCCGCGUCUGAUUAGCCAGUUGGUGGGGUAACGGCCUACCAAAGCAACGAUCAGUAGCCGACCUGAGAGGGUGACCGGCCACAUUGGGACUGAGACACGGCCCAAACUCCUACGGGAGGCAGCAUG